rnacentral:rRNA from 1 species
UAAUGCUUGGGAAUCUGGCUUAUGGAGGGGGGUAACUACGGGAAACUGUAGCUAAUACCGCGUAGUAUCGAGAGAUGAAAGUGCGGGACCGCAAGGCCGCAUGCCAUGAGAUGAGCCCAAGUGGGAUUAGGUAGUUGGUGGGGUAAAGGCCUACCAAGCCUGCGAUCUCUAGCUGGUCUGAGAGGAUGGCCAGCCACACUGGAACUGAGACACGGUCCAG